rnacentral:misc_RNA from 1 species
CCGCGCCUUUUUAAAUCCAAGCUAAUGAGUGCGCAUGGGACAGGUGCGGGUGCAGCGAUGCCGCUUUCGGUGCCAUCGUCCUGGGGCGGCCCAGGGCCUUCCUCGCAAGAAGCCGCCAAUGUACGGCCCUCGCUUGCUGUACCAGAGAAACAGUCCGCGGCGGCAGGAGUCACGGAUGGCUUUGCGCCAGCGGCAGCGGCAAAGACCUCACACGCCCCUCCGUCACUCCCUACACCUUCCGUGCUUGCCCAACCACAACCACCCUCUGCGGCAGUCCGUCCCACAGAUGCAGAGCCUCCCUCUUCCGCUGCGCCCGCGUCGGCCUUUUCAACGUCGGCGAAGAGCAACGCCACACAACGCAAGGUGGCAAAGUUGCUGGACAUCACGACGAGUAGCGAAAUCAAGGAUCUGGCGAGCUACGUGGACAACAUCUUGCCAGGCUACUUCUACUCCCUGGGCGACAGUGAAAAGGACGAGCCCAGCAGUGCCGAAGUCGCGGCCGCCAACGGCCACCGAUCUACACCGGCCCCGUCGAGUGCGGCAUCCAGCCACAGCAAUAACAACAAGACCAUCACAUCAACCGCACUUCGCAGUGCCCUCGACCAUCGUACCAUCGACGUGCACAAGAGUUUCCUGCAAGAGUUCACGGCCGUCUACCAGAGCUACCAGCGCGUGGCCGCACAGGUCAACGAGCUGCAGUCCAAGUGCUCUAGCUUGGAAGACACGCUGAACACCACCGCGGGCCGCCCCAGCAGAGAGGUGGAGGACUUCUUUUACCAGAUUCAGGCCUACCAAGCAGAGCUGCAGCUGGUGCGAAGCCACGACAAGGAGGUGGACGAGUUCCGCAAGCAGCACCACUUCGGCGCCGCUGAGCAGCAGGUACUAGAGGAGGGGGCAGUCGAUAUGAACUUCCUCAACGUGCUGGAGCGGGCGCGGCAGGUGCACCAGCGCAGCAGCGAGCUCAUGCAGUCCCAGGAAUACCACCAAGGUGCACUGGCAGUUAUGGAGUCCACCUACGGGGCCAUCACACGCGCUACGGAGAAGAUCGCUCGCCAUCUUCUCUCCACCGCUGGCAGCGGUGAGGGCCGCAGCGCUGGCGUCGCCGCGUCCGCUGCAGCAGGCGUUGCCGGGUCGAUUGCGGCUGAUGUGCCGGAGGUCACGGGCUUCCAGCUGCGGUGUGUGCGCCUCCUCUACGAGGAGAGUCCGUCGCUACACGAGAAGUUUCUCGAUGAGGUGGCGCGGCUGCGUCGGGCGUCGGUUCUGCGGCGCUACUUCCACCUCCUCACCACCGGCUCGGCGAACACGUCCACUGGCCUCUACCAGUCCGGAGGUCAGCCCUCCGCGUACGACGGCGGCGUUGGCAGUAGGCACGGUAGCAGCGAGGCAGGGAUGGGGGCCCGCCCCCUCGAGGCGGAGCUGAACAACCCCACCUAUUUCUUCAGCUCUCUUUGCGCGUGGCUGCACCAGACCAUCGCCGAGGAGCAGGACUUUAUUCACAACUUCUUUGUAAGCGAUGAGCCGGAGGUGGGGCAGGGAGGGCGGCGCAGCCACGCGACGACAGCGGCGCCGUCGUCGGCUUGUCUACAAGCGGGAAGCGACGCUGCACGAGCUGCGCGCGACAAGGCACGGCAGCAGGCGUUGCUCGAGGGCGUGUUCGGAGGGGUGUGCAAGCACAUCCGGGCGGCGCUCGACAACGUUCUGGAGCGGCUGGGGCGAACAGCGGCCGUGCUCGGUGCGGCCACAUGUAGCUCGGAGGGUGAAGGCAGAGCUAGCGGCUGCGGAAGCAUCGCCCUCUCAGGCAGCGCAGAUGCCCUCGCUCCGCGCAAGGGCCCACGUGGCCUGACUGGCGGCUUGACACGCUUGUUCAUGGCCGCCACUGGUCGCUCGCCCAUCGCGGCCUUCCGUGGCGCUGGGCAUGACGAAUCCAAUGCGCUUCUUCAGCGAUACGCCGGCGUCACGACCCGCGCGCAGCAAGAAGCCGUGGCCUCAUCGAUGCUGCGCCCCCCGCUGCAGGGAAUCCAGACCUGCGUGACGCUAGUGCAGCUGUUUGAGUACUACACUGCCACAACGUUCGCGCCACUGUUGGGGGAAGACUCGGCGCUUACCCGGCUGAUCCGCAAAACCGCUCCUCAGAAAACGCGAGAGCUCUUCCAGCGCCUGCUGCAUGUCUUAACCGCGCACCUGUUGGACAGCACAGCGGGCAUCAUUGGCCGCACCGCGACACUGAGGAGGUUGGCGUCGUCUCACGCGCUAAAGCAGGCGGCUGACGGUGACGACGCACAAGGUGUCUCGCCGCUUGCAGCAGAGCGCCGCGCCGUCACUAAAACUGGCCCAUCGACGUUUGUGCUCGACUUCCUCGUCACCUUCACGUACGGCAACGACGCGAACAGCCUCGGUGGCGCGCCCAAUGGGUCGGAGAGCGCACUGCUGAACGACAGCGAGAGCGACAUUUACAUGUCCUUCUCCUCCCUCUCCGCUGCUGCCGCCACGACUCGAUUCCGGCAGGCAAACGAUGGCCAGCUACUGCAUCACAGCGCGCACGACCUCCGGCGCGUUCUAUCGCAGCUUAUCCUGCCCCCAUCCCCAGAGGUGGCGGCGUACUGCGCUGUCGUGCACUCGGUGCUUCAGGACACUGCGCGUCAAGUCGAGCUUCUGGGUGCGAUCGCCGAGCAGCAGCGCGCUGCAGUGGCCCAGGGGCACCGCUCGAGUGGCCAGGCCGCAGCCUCAGACGCCGGUGUGGCGGCGCUCGCUACACACACUGAGGUAACGUUUUUUGUGCAGGAGAUGCUACAAUCGCUGCUGAAGGCCGCGCGCUCGGUGGAGGCGGACGGGCCGCUACGGACGAAUCUCGACGACCCGUGUCGUGCUAUCGUGGAGUACAAUGUGCUUUACCAACUGCGUGACGUGCUUGAACAGCACGCGGCAGUGCUUGGGGUGCUCUUCAAGGGUUCAGACGCACAAGGUCAAGAGGCGGAGCGAACGUUGGACUCUAUUCGGAUGGAGUGUUCCACCACCAUGACCGCUCUGCGUCAGCGCCUUGUGUCCGCGUGGACAACCGCCGUCGAACUCUUCUACUUUCCUGUGUCGACGGAGGCCGUUGUCGCGGCGAUGUCGAGCGCCGCGGCCGCGGAAGCCAAUGAAAAACGGCUCAUCACCGUCAAGAAGGAUGUGCGGCGUGUGCUGAAGCAGUUCGUAAACGUGUACAACACCAUCGCCUCCUUGGGCCACUUGCCGGAGCCCGUGCCCCUUCUUUUGGCCCUCGCCGGCGGCGACGACGUGUGCGAAGAAGUGCGCCGAAAAGUCACCCUGAGCAUCGUGGAAGAUGUGUACACGGCGGAGUUCAAGAUGCUGUCUUCUUUGCCGCCCACCGAGGAGCUCGUAGCGGUGCAAACCGAAAUGGCGCCGCAGAAUUUGCUCAAGCUGGUCGACUUCAGCUCCUCCGCACCCGCCGCAACGUCGCAGCCCCUUUCGUCGUGAGGCGGCAGUUUUCAGCGACGCAGAGGUCAGUGCGGCGGCGGCGGACAGGAGAGUUUUGUGUGUAUGUGUGUGUGUGUGGGGGGGGGGGGCAUUCGUCUAUCAUAGCAGCAGCAGGAAACAGCGUGCAACCACGCAAGCAUCGAUACCGCUUGUUGUUGGCAGCUGGAUGUUGUUGUGAUGUGCGUCUUUGUGCCUGCUUGCGGUCCUCUCGGGUGCUGCCUCAAGAAGGCUGUGCGUGUGUGGCUCUGUGCGGCAGGCAUCCGCCCCGCUGCCUCUCGCGUGACGCCUGCAAUCCCUCACGUCUGUCGUCCUCUACCACGUCGCAUCCUCGGGUCUGCGGGCCCCACGUCUCAUCUUCGUGCGCACACAACUCGCGUCUACGUGUGCUUCGGUCAUGUGCUCCGUCUUG